rnacentral:rRNA from 1 species
AUUGAACGCUGGCGGCGGGCCUAACACAUGCACGACGAACGAGUGGCGGAGGGGUGAGUAAUGUCUGGGAAACUGCCUGAUGGAGGGGGAUAACUACUGGAAACGGUAGCUAAUACCGCAUACCAUCGGAUGUGCCCAGAUGGGAUUAGCUAGUCGGUGGGGUAACGGCUCACCUAGGCGACGAUCCCUAGCUGGUCUGAGAGGGUGACCAUCCACACUGGAACUGAGACACGGUCCAGACUCCUACGUGAGGCAGCAGUGGGGAAUAUUGCACAAUGGGCGCAAGCCUGAUUCAGCCAUGCCGCGUGUAUGAAGAAGGCCUUCGGGUUGUAAAGUACUUUCAGCGGGGAGGCGUUACCCGCAGAAGAAGCACCGGCUAACUCCGUGCCAGCAGCCGCGGUAAUUC